CUCAUUACAGACUUCCUUACAAACUUUGAGCCUUUAAGAGAGCUAAGAAGGAACUCUUUGCACAACACGUUUCUGUAUUUACUUGGGUACAGCGUUACGAGUGGCGUGGUUCCCCCCGCUCUCAUAAUCAUUUUGGGGUGACUCUUUGCACUUUCAAGACAAAGCAAACCCAGAUGAACAAAAACAAGGAAAAUCGUUGGCAUUCCUAGAUAUUUUGAGGAUUGGAUCCUACUUUGUGGGCAACAGUCGUUACCUACUGAACUUACAAUUCCACUUUUCACCUACAUCUACUCAAAGAAUGGCUUUUAACAGUACCACAUAAAGCCUGUCAAAUCUGAUACUUUAUCCUUGACAGUGGCCAAUAGAAGAUUCUCUGUGACAGAACACAGGAAGAAGCAUGAAAGGAGAGCUGCACAGUUGAUUCUUUAGCAGUAUUUAAGGUUUUUGGUAUGCAUUUGCAUGAACUCGUGCAGAUGAAUGGUGAACUCAUGCAUAGUCUGGUAUUUAGCAUAAGCAGUAUUUGGUAAAGCUUACUUAUGCAUUUACAAAAACUUCCAUUUGUUGAUUUGAGAUCCUCGUGUUUCCCACAUUAAGGGUUGUUCUUUAUGUAUCUUUAUUACACUUCACAUAGUUGUCUUGCUUGGGAGUCAGUUCUUCCAUCUAAUUGAAGCUUUCAUAUGUUCAGCUCCUCUGGAUUCCUUUACUGGAGAAAUGAACAUUGUUACAGGUGUAGAUGUAUAUGUGUGCAGCUAUCGAUGUGUUCUCCUUUGCUAAAGAUAAAUAUUUAAACCUAGACUCUCUUACAAAAUAAGUAUUUAAACCUAGACUCUCUUACAAAAUGGCACCAAGCAGGUUUUAUCUUUGCUCUUCUUUCUCUUCUGCGCUCAGGCUGAUGCAAUAUUUUUGUUGUCAAUCUGAAUAUCCUAAGUUGGCUGGUGGCCACGUGUAGACAACAUGGAGCUGUCUACUAUUAUAUUUUUUAUAUUACUAUUAUAUUUUGGAAAAAAUGUUUUGGUUUUUUGUUAAUAAUAUGUAUGAGCAACAUAUGUAAACAUUUUGAGUGUGGUAAGAAAAAUAAUUCUUCUGAGUGCGGACAGUUCUUAAAAGAGCAAAAUGCACAUCUUCAGUUGUGUCAGGAAUGGAUCAAUUGCUGGCAGAAAUGGGGAGUGGUUGGGUAAACCAGUUUAUGCAGCAUACAAGAAAAAGAUAAACGAGUGGGAAAAUGUUACAUUCAGCACUGUGAAAAGGACAUUUUUGUUUGUAUACAUACCCAAGAAUUUUGUUUCCUGUAAGGACAUUACGCCUUCUGUUUAUCACCUAUGUGCAGAGUGCUUUUACCGUUGCUGAGUCACGGUUUGCUGAAUGACCGACCUCUGCUUCUGCUUGGAGCUGGGAGAUCUCUGCUGUGUAUCAGGUGAGGAGUGUCAACGCCCCUUACUUGGGAAACGAAAGCAUGACACAGCAUUAGAGCUGAGUUCAUUGGAAAUGCUAUAAGCAGGAGGAUGGAAAUGCAUUUAUGCAGCUAUGAGAAGUAAAUCCAAAUCUAUCCUUUAAAUCAUUUACUGGUAGUAAUGACUCAGUGUUAUUUAAAGAGAAUAAUAGUGUUCAUUCCAGCGUAUCAAGCUAGCAGUUUUGCAGUGCAGUAGUUCAGGGUGGAUUUUGCCUGAAUAUUUAAAUAGUGCUAAACCUGAGGGAUAGAUGUUACUCUGCUGGCUAUGUUUUCCCAACAGAGAAAAUAUAUACAUAACUACAGUGGUUAAGUCUAAGUCUCGAUAAUCUUCGGUUUAUGAUACCGAUAUAUAAUCUAUAUUGAAUAGUUCAUGAGGCCAAAAUAAGCUACCAGAAGCUGUAAGCAUUGACUGCCUUUUCAUAAAUGUAGGAGGGUUUUACUAUGGAGCCAUAAAAUAUGUCCAUUCCAUUUGUUUGCCCUUCCUAUAUGAUAUUUUAUAUUUGAAUGUGUAAGCACGUAUGGACUGUGGAAAGCAGAAUCCAGAGUCAAUUUAUGGAAAUAUCUACAGCUAUUACUUACAUUAAAAUCCUUUAAAUAGCUAGCUUAUAUAGCUGCUAGAAGCGUAAUUAGCCCAUAAACAGCUUUGUACUUCACAUUUUGUUUAGCCAUUUACUUUCUUUGUAGAAUGUAUAGGUAUAAUAUUUUAACUGAGACUGAAAGUUACCUUUGACCAUUAAAGAUUUUACUGUAAUUUGUCAUAUAAACCUUCCUCUUUCUGAGAUUUAUUGUACUCCCAUGGUAUGCAGUAAACCUUUUUAUGGAUAAAAAGUUUUCUCACUGUGUUCAGCUUGGGAAUAGUGGUUGUUGCUGUGGAAGUGCUUAUUACACCGUUCUUUUGAUAGCCUUGUUCAGAGUAAAACAAGAGCAUAGCAUGAACUUCAAGUAGUUUGUUUUUUUCUUGAGACCCACUGGUACCUCAGUUACCAUAAUGCUGAGAUGACGCUGUAUGGGCAAGUUUGUCAUCUGUGCAGUGUCGUGCAGUGCCCACAUGUAUGAUCAUGUGCAUGUACUACAGCUUUUGCAGGACAAGACUUGAUGCAUUUUAUGUUGCAGUAUUUCUGAUAGAAAUAAUUUGCUGAAAUUAUAUAUAUAUAUGUAUUAUAUAUAAUAGCACUGGAAUAUGAUACAAUUUUGUUGUUGGUGUUCUUGCUGUAAUAAGAAAUGCUCACUUCUGUUUCUGGUAUGAAAUGAAAAAGUAGCUAUAAGUUGUACAAAUAAUCUGGAGAAUUUUAAACUAUUGGACAG
ensembl:lncRNA